rnacentral:rRNA from 1 species
GAUGAACGCUAGCGGGAGGCCUAACACAUGCAAGCCGAGCGGGAUUUGAGACUAGCUUGCUAGUCUUAAUGAGAGCGGCGUACGGGUGCGGAACACGUGUGCAACCUGCCUUUAUCUGGGAGAUAGCCUUUCGAAAGGAAGAUUAAUAUCCCAUAAUAUAAUGAUUGGCAUCAAUUAUUAUUGAAAGCUCCGGCGGAUAGAGAUGGGCACGCGCAAGAUUAGAUAGUUGGUGAGGUAACGGCUCACCAAGUCGAUGAUCUUUAGGGGGCCUGAGAGGGUGAUCCCCCACACUGGUACUGAGACACGGACCAGACUCCUACAGGAGGCAGCAGUGAGGAAUAUUGGACAAUGGGUGAAAGCCUGAUCCAGCCAUCCCGCGUGAAGGAUUAAGGACCUAUGGUUUGUAAACUUCUUUUCUACAGGGAUAAACCUACUCUCGUGAGAGUAGCUGAAGGUACUGUAGGAAUAAGCACCGGCUAACUCCGUGCCAGCCGCCGCCGUAA